rnacentral:lncRNA from 1 species
AGCUUUGAAGAAUCCUGCGCUUAGCCUGGGCUGGGAAAGAUGAGAUUCCCGGGCAGUUUUUCCAACGUCCGACUCACUCCUCAGGCUGCUCGGGGGUCUCCCCGUUGCAAUCUGCGCCUUGCGCAGGGAAAAAAGAAUGGAAAGUUGCUGGUCUUCGAAAGGGGCGGACUUCGUCGCCACUUUCAGCGGCUCGUCGCCUGCUGAAUCCACAGCAGGUCAGGGCUGUGAUUUAUGUGGCUCAAAGUGAUGACGGCGCCCGUUUUUUUUUUUUUUUUUUUUGAAAUGCUGAAGACAGGUUCCGGGAGGUUUAACUAGGGUGGUAUUUUUAAGCGCCAGGCUCAUUAGGCGCGAGGAGCUGCAGAGCCUCGAAGGGCCGCACGGCCGUGGGCCGCUGGCCACGCAGCAGCAGGGUCUUCGGGCCGUGGUGCGCCGCUGGGUGACUCCACUUCCUUAGAGGAUCGAACCCACAGAGGAAUGUGUCCAGCUUAGAAGCUUCGGCCCCCUGGUUCCAGAAUUCUGUUGGGUGGUUUGUUACCUCUAGCACGCUCCAUGCCCUUCUUGCCCCUUUCCUUUCAGACAAAACUUGCAGCACAAAGAAUGAAUUCUUUUGGGUUUCGCAAUCCGUUUCUUCCCUGGGCGUCUUAAAAUGCAGCCUCGUCUCGGAAUGGCAUACAGUAAAUCCCCUAAAUGUUAGUGUGUCUGGAUCAGUUUGAGUAUCGGAAACGCUGAAUUUGUGAAGAAAAGUUCUGGGUGGGAGCUUGUGCUUUGCCACUGGCUAGGAAACUUUGGGCAACUUACCUAAACCUCUCUGAGCCUUAGUUUCUUGUAAAAUGGGUAUAAUUACACCUGCCUCAUGAUGGUAACACUACUAACGAUUGAAGGCUGCCUGGGACUCUGCUAGGCGCUUUAUAAAAUGGAUUAUCUCAUUGAAUCCUUCCUUAUGUGCCCCCCAUGAGGUAGGUACUGUUAUUUUCUCAGUUUACAGUUGAGGAACCUGAGGAUUAGCGACAUUGUUUGCCUCCAACCACCCAAUGGCAAGUGGUAAAGCUAGCAGCUGAGAUUUGUCUGAUUAUUAAAAACCGAGUGUCUUAAUCACUGUGCCAGAAUAACAAAAGCAAAUGUUGACAUGGGCCAGGCCUGAACUUUAAAGAAGUGGAGCGUCGGGACAAGAUGAUUUAUUGGUUUUCAAGCAUGCAUGGAACAUUAUAAAACAUCAAAUACUAAGUAACAGGCCAGGCGCGGUGGCUCACGCCUGUAAUCCCAGCACUUUGGGAGGCCGAGGUGGGCGGAUCACAAGGUCAAGGAGAUCUAGACCAUCCUGGCUAACAGAGUGACACCCCG